AGUUGUGAUGGGGUGCCGACAGCAGGGCAUGAGGCCGAGGGAGGGUCUGUUAUGGUCACCCACAGACUCAAGAGCACACAGAGGCUAACCAGACUCAGUCCUGCUGGAGUGCAUUUCAGGGCCGCUGUGACCUGGGAUGGGGUCCAGGACGUGCUCUGCGUCUGGAUUAGCCCCUGGAGAGAGGAAGUAGAGUCAGCCCCCUUCUGCUCCGGUGCCACCAUCAAGACCCUCUGUGGGCGGUGCACACUGGUGACUGCAGCUCAGUGCUGACCUGUUGGCCCCUGGGGACGAGGGCCCAAGCCCCCCUGACCCCCCUGCUGCCACCUGUAGUCCUGCGGUGCCCAUUAUCACCUUCCCUGAGUGCUUCCUCUUCGUCUUCACCUCUGGCUGCCCAGGUGCCACUGGUUGCUCUGCAUCUAUUCUGAGCCCUUUGAGGGUCUGUUGAAGGGAGCUCUUUGGCUGGUGGUGUGUUUAGUUCAACUCUCUGGAUUUCUUGAUCCUGGCACAACAAUCCUGAGAGCAGCUCUGUCUUAUUAAUCCUUUGCCACCUGCUGCUGGCUCUUCGAUGCUCUUCACCCUUCAUCCUUGGCCCCACACCAUCAAGGCCUCCAUGCUCCCCUGCUCCUCUUGGGGAACUGAGGCUUGGAAAUGUGAAGUAAGAAGCCAUUGGUUACACAGCCAGCGAGGGGCAGGGCUGGGUUCCAGCCCAGGUCCACCUGAACCCACAGCCAGGAUGCUGGACCCUCCGUUAUGUUGUUUGUUUAUCUACAUCCAUGUUCACUUGGCUUUUUCUGGGGCAGUUUGAAGUUCUGGAUUCUUACUAUUUAAGCUAUUGCCUGUUCCUGUGGGGUUGAUAGCUCCAUUUUAAAUUUAUCUUUCAGUUGAAACCGACUUUGCACUGUGAGCUUUCAUAAGAAACAUAGAAGAGCAAUAAAGUAAAGGACAUGCAGAGAGCGCACACUGGGAGAGCAGGGACUGCGGCCAGAAGCACGGGCUCGGGUGUUGGAUGGCUGCUGACGUCACUCUCAGUGCUGCCUCUCGCUGGAUUUGUGACCACUGCAAUCAUCACCUCCUGGCCACGCCGAAUCUAGAACUCUGGUGUCCUCAGAAUGUGGCUGUCUUAGUGGGGCUUCCCAGAAGCAGAGCAAGGACUGCGGUGCAGGUAUUGAUCUGGGAGGACAGACCUCAGACAGCAGACUCGUGGAACAAGAGCAAAGUCCUCGAACAUACCCCAGAGAGCUGGAGAGGGCAGGUCACCCUGGGAUUCCCUGAAGGACACUUGCUUCUGUAAUCUGACCCAAGGUAACCACAACCCAGUGAAGGCGGCUUUACUCACAAUUCAUUUGAGGCCAUGUUAUACAUCUCAUUCUUCAUAGAAUGAAAAACCAAGACCCAGACUACCCGAGGAUGGCACUAAUUUUAAAAGCAACAGAGAAAAAUUGUGUUCUGUACAUCAGGACACAUGAGAAAGUAGUUAUGGCCACAGAGCUGUCUGGAUUGCAUAAUAAUUACUCAUCCCACCAGUAAAAGUAAAAGGACACAUAAAAUAU